GACGAACGCUGGCGGCGUGCUUAACACAUGCAAGUCGAACGGAAAGGCCCUGCUUUUGUGGGGUGCUCGAGUGGCGAACGGGUGAGUAACACGUGAGUAACCUGCCCUUGACUUUGGGAUAACUUCAGGAAACUGGGGCUAAUACCGGAUAGGAGCUCCUGCUGCAUGGUGGGGGUUGGAAAGUUUCGGCGGUUGGGGAUGGACUCGCGGCUUAUCAGCUUGUUGGUGGGGUAGUGGCUUACCAAGGCUUUGACGGGUAGCCGGCCUGAGAGGGUGACCGGCCAAAUUGGGACUGAGGUAAGGGCCAGACUCCUAAGGGAGGCAGCAGGGGGGAAUAUUGCACAAUGGGCGGAAGGCUGAUGGAGGAAAGCCGGGGGCGGGAUGAAGGCCUUCGGGUUGUAAACCGCUUUCGCCUGGGAAGAAGCGUGAGUGACGGUAAUGGGUAAAGAAGCAACGGCUAAAUACGUG
rnacentral:rRNA from 1 species